rnacentral:rRNA from 1 species
AUUGAACGCUGGCGGCAGGCCUAACACUUGCAAGUCGAACGAGUGGCGGACGGGUGAGUAAUGUCUGGGAAACUGCCUGCUGGAUGGGGAUCACUAUUGGAAACGGUAGCUAAUACCGCAUACCAUCGGAUGUGCCCAGAUGGGAUUAGCUAGUUGGUGGGGUAAAGGCUCACCUCGGCGACGAUCCCUAGCUGGUCUGCGAGGAUGACCAGCCACACGGGAACUGAGACACGGGCCAGACGGCUACGGGAGGCAGCAGUGGGGAAUAUUGGACAAUGGGCGCAAGCCUGAUGGAGCCAUGCCGCGUGUGUGAAGAAGGGCAUCGGGUUGUAAAGGUCUUUCGGUAGCGAGGCGUUAACUACAGAAGAAGCACCGGCUAACUCCGUGCCAGCAGCCGCGGUAAUUC